rnacentral:rRNA from 1 species
GACGAACGCUGGCGGCGUGCUUAACACAUGCAAGUCGAACGGAAAGGCCCUGCUUUUGUGGGGUGCUCGAGUGGCGAACGGGUGAGUAAGACGUGAGUAACCUGCCCUUGACUUUGGGAUAACUUCAGGAAACUGGGGCUAAUACCGGAUAGGAGCUCCUGCUGCAUGGUGGGGGGUGGAAAGUUGCGGCGGGUGGGGAUGGACGCGCGGCUUAUCAGCUUGUUGGUUGGGUAGUGGCUUACCAAGGCUUUGACGGGUAGCCGGCCUGAGAGGGUGACCGGCCACAUUGGGACUGCGAUACGGCCCAGACUCCUACGGGAGGCAGCAGUGGGGAAUAUUGCACAAUGGGAGGACGCCUGAUGCAGCAACGCCGCGUGCGGGAUGACGGCCUUCGGGUUGUAAACCGCUUUCGCCUGUGACGACGCGUGAGUGACGGUAAUGGGUAAAGAAGCACCGGCUAACUACGUG